rnacentral:rRNA from 1 species
ACCCUUGGCCAGGUUGAAGCAUGGGUAAAACCAUGUGGAGGACCGAACAGGUGAACGUUGAAAAGUUCUCUGAUGAGCUGAGGGUAGGAGUGAAAGGCUAAUCAAACCCCGUGAUAGCUGGUUCUCUUCGAAAUGCAUUUAGGUGCAGCGUCACGUGCUGAUGCGCGGGGGUAGAGCACUGACAAGGCUAGGGGGCACACCCGCUUACCAAACCUUAUCAAACUCCGAAUACCGUGCAAUGGAACGUGGCAGUGAGACAGUGGGGGAUAAGCUUCAUUGUCGAGAGGGAAACAACCCAGAUCAGCAGCUAAGGUGCCUAAAUAACGCUCAGUGGAAAGGAUGUGGGAUUACACAGACAGUGAGGAUGUUGGCUUAGAAGCAGCCACCAUUUAAAAAAUGCGUAAUAGCUUACUCAUCGAGUGAUCCUGCGCCGAAAAUGAUUGGCGAUCAAGCGUUAUACCGAAGCUCUGGACUUUACCUUACGGUAGAGUGGUAGAAGAGCGUUGCAUGCGCGUUGAAGGGUGAUGGCGACUGACCCUGGAGCACAUGCAAGUGAGUAUGCAGACAUGAGUAACGUAAAGCCGGGUGAAAUCCCCGGCCGCCGUAAACCCGAGGUUUCCAGGGCAACGUGUUUCGUCCCUGGGUUAGCCGGGACCUAAGCCGAGGCCGAGAGGCGUAGGCGAUGGAUAUCAGGUUAAUAAUCCUGAGCUCGCGACCCUUAAACUGGGGGGACGCAUGAGAAAAGAUGACUAGGUUAUUGAAUUCCGAGUUGAGUCCACGGACUCAGCGCAUCAUUGGAUCGAGUGCCAAGAAAAGCCCCAGCGUAUGCUAAGCGACCCGUACCGCAAACCGACACAGGUGGGUGGGUAGAAUAUACCAAGGCGUAAGAGUGAAACCUGGUUAAGGAACUCGGCAAAUUAGCCCCGUAACUUCGGAAGAAGGGGUGCCUGCAGCGAUGCAGGCCGCAGAGAAAUGGCCCAACCGACUGUUUAUCAAAAACACAGCACUCUGCAAAGACGCAAGUCGAAGUAUAGGGUGUGACACGUGACCAAUGCCGAAAGAUUAAGGCAAGGGGUUAGCCGCAAGGCGAAGCUCUGAACCCAAGUCCCGGUGAAUGUCGGCCGUAACUAUAACGGUCCUAAGGUAGCGAAAUUCCUUGUCGGGUAAGUUCCGACCUGCACGAAUCGUGAAACGAGUUGGGCACUGUCUCAACCAGGCGCUCAGUGAAAUUGUAGUGGCGGUGAAGAUGCCGCCUACCCGCAGAAGGACGGAAAGACCCUAUAGACCUUAACUGUAAGCUGUCAUUGUUUCUUCGGUUUUAAUGCUCAGAGUAAGUGGGAGACGCUGAAGACGCCCUUUAGGGGGCGUCGGAGUCAUCAAUGAGACACCACCCUUUGAAACUGGAGGAUCUAACCCUGAGCCGUGAAUCCGGCCAGAGGACCGUGUCAGCCGGUCAGUUUUACUGGGGCGGUAUCCUCCCAAAGAGUAACGGAGGAGCGCGAAGGUGGGCUCAGCCCGGUUGGCAACCGGGUGUCGAGUGCAUGGGCAUAAGCCCGCCUAACUGUGAGACCAACAAGUCGAGCAGAUGCGAAAGCAGGCCCAAGUGAUCCGGCGGUAGAAAGUGGAAUUGCCGUCGCUCAACGGAUAAAAGGUACCUUAGGGAUAACAGGCUGAUCACGCCCAAGAGUUCAUAUCGACGGCGUGGUUUGGCACCUCGAUGUCGGCUCGUCGCAUCCUGGGGCUGGAGAAGGUCCCAAGGGUCCGGCUGUUCGCCGGUUAAAGCGGCACGCGAGCUGGGUUCAGAACGUCGCGAGACAGUUCGGUCCUCUAUCCUCUGUGGGCGUUGGAAAAUUGAGGGGUUCAGACCUUAGUACGAGAGGACCGGGUCUGACGCACCACUGGUGCAUCGGUUGUACUGUCAAGUGCAUGGCCGAGUAGCUAAGUGCGGACGGGAUAAGCGCUGAAAGCAUCUAAGCGCCAAGCCCAUCCCAAGAUGAGUUUUCCCUAUAGGUUCGUGGAAGACCACCACGUUGAUAGGUCGCAGGUGUAAGUGCAGCAAUGUAUUGAGCCAAGCGAUACUAAUCACCAAUAGACUUCAUCAU